UGUUAAAAAUUUCAUCCAUUUCUACUGUUAAAAAAGAUGUGGCUGAUAGAAUAACCUCAUCUAUUUUUAAUAGUAAAAAUUGAUGAAAUUUUUAAUA
rfam:Gossypium hirsutum cultivar TM-1 chromosome 7, whole genome shotgun sequence